UAUGGCCACAUCACACUGAAACACUGGUUCUCAUAUGAUCACCAAAGUUAAGAAAAUUGAAGCCUGGUCACUAUCUAGAUGGGUGACUACUUGGGAAUACUAGGUGCUGUAAG